CCUACGGGAGGCAGCAGUGGGGAAUAUUGCACAAUGGGCGCAAGCCUGAUGCAGCCAUGCCGCGUGUGUGAAGAAGGCCUUCGGGUUGUAAAGCACUUUCAGCGGGGAGGAAGGCGGUGAGGUUAAUAACCUCAUCGAUUGACGUUACCCGCAGAAGAAGCACCGGCUAACUCCGUGCCAGCAGCCGCGGUAAUACGGAGGGUGCAAGCGCUAAUCGGAAUUACUGGGCGUAAAGCGCACGCAGGCGGUCUGUCAAGUCGGAUGUGAAAUCCCCGGGCUCAACCUGGGAACUGCAUUCGAAACUGGCAGGCUAGGGUCUUGUAGAGGGGGGUAGAAUUCCAGGUGUAGCGGUGAAAUGCGUAGAGAUCUGGAGGAAUACCGGUGGCGAAGGCGGCCCCCUGGACAAAGACUGACGCUCAGGUGCGAAAGCGUGGGGAGCAAACAGGAUUAGAUACCCGUGUAGUC
rnacentral:rRNA from 1 species